rnacentral:rRNA from 1 species
AAUGAACGCUGGCGGCAUGCCUAACACAUGCAAGUCGAACGGCAGCACGGGUGCUUGCACCUGGUGGCGAGUGGCGAAGGGGUGAGUAAUACAUCUGAACAUGUCCUGUAGUGGGGGAUAGCCCGGCGAAAGCCGGAUUAAUACCGCAUACGAAUUACGGAUGAAAGCGGGGGAACUUCGGGCCUCGCGCUAUAGGGUUGGCCGAUGGCUGAUUAGCUAGUUGGUGGGGUAAAGGCCUACCAAGGCGACGAUGCGUAGCUGGUCUGAGAGGAUGACCAGCCACACUGGAACUGAGACACGGCCCAGACUCCUACGGGAGGCAGCAGUGGGGAAUUUUGGACAAUGGGCGAAAGCCUGAUCCAGCAAUGCCGCGUGUGUGAAGAAGGCCUUCGGGUUGUAAAGCACUUUUGUCCGGAAAGAAAACCUUGGCCCUAAUACGGUCAGGGGAUGACGGUACCGAAAGAAUAAGCACCGGCUAACUACGUG